rnacentral:rRNA from 1 species
UACGAGAGGCCCAAACGUUAUUCGGAUUUACUGGGCUUAAAGAGUCCGUAGGCGGCGCGACAAGUGAGGUGUGAAAGCCCUCGGCUCAACCGAGGAAUUGCGCUUCAAACUGUCGUGCUUGAGGAACCUAGAGGUGAGCGGAACUGAUGGUGGAGCGGUGAAAUGCGUUGAUAUCAUCAGGAACACCGGAGGCGAAGGCGGCUCACUGGGGGUUUACUGACGCUGAGGGACGAAAGCCAGGGGAGCAAACGGG